GAAGGUGGGGAUGACGUCAAGUCAUCAUGGCCCUUACGACCAGGGCUACACACGUGCUACAAUGGCGCAUACAAAGAGAAGCGACCUCGCGAGAGCAAGCGGACCUCAUAAAGUGCGUCGUAGUCCGGAUUGGAGUCUGCAACUCGACUCCAUGAAGUCGGAAUCGCUAGUAAUCGUGGAUCAGAAUGCCACGGUGAAUACGUUCCCGGGCCUUGUACACACCGCCCGUCACACCAUGGGAGUGGGUUGCAAAAGAAGUAGGUAGCUUAACCUUCGGGAGGGCGCUUACCACUUUGUGAUUCAUGACUGGGGUGAAGUCGUAACAAGGUAACCGUAGGGGAACCUGCGGUUGGA
rnacentral:rRNA from 1 species